AAAUGCACUCGGAUCUUAAAUCUAAUUUUUGAGACAACAAAUGCUUAUAUUAAAAUUAAACAUUCGAUAGGCUAAGUCGAAUACAACCGGAGAGAUAUUCGACGGUAAACUGAUAAACUAACACAACUAAAACCAAGCUAAGGAUAGAUGUGGCUAAAGAGAAAAGAAACCCGUAAAUAAUCUUCACUUAUAUUCCUAGAGGAGGCAUUCGAAAAC
rnacentral:lncRNA from 1 species